rnacentral:rRNA from 1 species
UACAGAGGGGGCAAGCGUUGUUCGGAAUUACUGGGCGUAAAGGGCUCGUAGGCGGCCAACUAAGUCAGACGUGAAAUCCCUCGGCUUAACCGGGGAACUGCGUCUGAUACUGGAUGGCUUGAGUUUGGGAGAGGGAUGCGGAAUUCCAGGUGUAGCGGUGAAAUGCGUAGAUAUCGAGAGGAACACCUGCGGCGAAGGCGGGUUGCUGGGCUGACACUGACGCUGAACUGCGAAAGCUAGGGGAGCGAACGGG